rnacentral:rRNA from 1 species
GUAUUUACGUGGGACGGUAAAGGGAGCGUAGGCGGAUAUUUAAGUGGGAUGUGAAAUACCCGAGCUUAACUUGGGAGCUGCAUUCCAAACUGGAUAUCUAGAGUGCAGGAGAGGAGAAUGGAAUUCCUAGUGUAGCGGUGAAAUGCGUAGAGAUUAGGAAGAACACCAGUGGCGAAGGCGAUUCUCUGGACUGUAACUGACGCUGAGGCUCGAAAGCGUGGGGAGC